GGAAAAUGAGAAGUACAUAAUAAUCACUUAGCUGGGCUAAUAACGAAGCUUACUUUUUUUGUUUGUUUGUUUUUCAAGUGAUGUUUUGUUUGGGGAAUUCAGAUUUGACUUUGCAUUUAUAACUUCUAUGAACAUAACGCUGUUUUUAUUAAGGUGUUUUCUAAAUUUUUUAUUUUUUUUUCCAAGCAAAUUUUAGGUUACAGUUUGUGGCAAGCUGUUCUCUUCACUGUGUCUUCAACUGUAUGAUAUUUAUAAGCCAAUAUUGUGCUUGUUUCCCCAGUGAAGAAGACAGAAGGUGAAAUUCAUUCUAUACAAAGGAACAGUGAAAGUUACUUUUACCUGCCAUAAAUAAAUUGGGCACAAUUUUCCCAGCAGUGUAUCUCAAAGUAUCAUCAGAGGUAGAUAUAUGCUGAUCUGAGAAGAGUUCAUGGGAUCUUAUGAGAUGUAUCUGAGGAUCCUGAAUGACCAGGUGGAUGAAGCUGCCUGCUCUAGUAUGAAACAGACUCUGAGCAGUCAUCGUACAAUGGAAAGAAUGCAUGUCCUCUGUCUUCUGCAAGUUGUGUUCUGGGCACAGCCCAUGAAAUGCCUUUGAAAUAAGCAGAGACCUUGAAUGUGAUUUGAAAUAUAGUAGGAAGCCAGAAUGAAGACGUCAGCAACAGACUGGUGCAGAUGUGGUUAUCAAAUGUAGCUGGACACAGUACCUGCAUCUUUACUAGCUAUAAUUUUCUGUGUGUGGAAAGUUCAUGCUGAAACUUUUGCUA
rnacentral:lncRNA from 1 species